GAUGAACGCUGGCGGCGUGCUUAACACAUGCAAGUCGAACGGAAAGGCCCAAGCUUGCUUGGGUACUCGAGUGGCGAACGGGUGAGUAACACGUGGGUGAUCUGCCCUGCACUUCGGGAUAAGCCUGGGAAACUGGGUCUAAUACCGGAUAGGACGAUGGUUUGGAUGCCAUUGUGGAAAGUUUUUUCGGUGUGGGAUGAGCUCGCGGCCUAUCAGCUUGUUGGUGGGGUAAUGGCCUACCAAGGCGUCGACGGGUAGCCGGCCUGAGAGGGUGUACGGCCACAUUGGGGCUGAGAUACGGCCCAGACUCCUACGGGAGGCAGCAGUGGGGAAUAUUGCACAAUGGGCGCAAGCCUGAUGCAGCGACGCCGCGUGGGGGAUGACGGCCUUCGGGUUGUAAACUCCUUUCGCUAGGGACGAAGCGUUUUUGUGACGGUACCUGGAGAAGAAGCACCGGCUAGCUACGUG
rnacentral:rRNA from 1 species